AUCAUGGCUCAGGGAUGAACGCUAGCUACAGGCUUAACACAUGCAAGUCGAGGGGCAGCAUUAUCGAAGCUUGCUUUGAUAGAUGGCGACCGGCGCACGGGUGAGUAACGCGUAUCCAACCUUCCCCAUAGUCAGGAAUAGCCCGGCGAAAGUCGAAUUAAUGCCUGAUGUUUUCCACGGACGGCAUCUGAUGUGGAACAAAGAUUGAUCGCUAUGGGAUGGGGAUGCGUCUGAUUAGCUUGUUGGCGGGGUAACGGCCCACCAAGGCAACGAUCAGUAGGGGUUCUGAGAGGAAGGUCCCCCACAUUGGAACUGAGACACGGUCCAAACUCCUACGGGAGGCAGCAGUGAGGAAUAUUGGUCAAUGGGCGGAAGCCUGAACCAGCCAAGUAGCGUGAGGGAUGACUGCCCUAUGGGUUGUAAACCUCUUUUAUAAGGGAAUAAAAUACGGGACGUGUCCUGUUUUGCAUGUACCUUAUGAAUAAGGACCGGCUAAUUCCGUG
rnacentral:rRNA from 1 species